GUGCUCGCUUCGGCGGCACAUAUACUGGAAUUGGAACGAUACAGAGAAGAUUAGCAUGGCCCCUGUGCAAGGAUGACAACGCAAGUUCGUGAAGCGUUCCAUAUAAAA
rnacentral:snRNA from 1 species